UCAUAUUUUUGUAUACCGCCCUUUGAUCAUCUUCUGAGGUGACACCUAAUCAUUAAUCAUUGCCAUCUACAUUUCUGAAAACUAUGGAAAUUUGCUCUCCAUUUCAGGUCCUUGAACUUAGGAAUACAUGGUCAGUUUCCCUAACUUCCUAUUCUUCUUUCUUCUUUCUUGUUUGGGGAACCCUAGCAUUACUUUCCUCUCCCUGGUUUCCACGCCCAAAGCUGUUCUUUUCUCGGUCUGCAGCUUUCUCCACUCGCUGUUUAUCAAUUUAUCUAUUUGUCGAUCUCACCUUUCUCUUUAUUUCCUGUGACUGAGUGCGUCUUGUUCUCCCUUGUUCUCAGUCAUGUCUUUAAAUCUAUGAAAUGGUUUUCAAUUGUCAGCUUCAUCCCUACAUUUCUAUGGCAACGGCAAAUUCCCGUCCUACUCCUCUCUCCCCACCCACCCCAGCCUGGCCUGGCCCUCCUCCCAUGUAGUGGAUAAGCUGUGAGAAUGCUGACAAGCUGUUGAGCACCAGGAUCAUGAGAACUUGGUCUGCAACAGACAGAUGCACAACCCGACUGUUUCCUGUCGUCACAAGGUUAAAUCACAACUCGUGCUGUGCAACUAGGCAUUUUGCAUCUGGUUCCCCUCUAAAGCUCUGAGCGAGCAAAAGAAGACGAUCUACAUAGAUGUUCUUCAUUUGCAUGUCAUAAUCUGAUUUGGGGGCUCUCUUUCACAAGAACUUGCCAAGAUGGAAACUUUCCAGUAACAGCCUGGCAGCCUUCCAAAUUAUUUUGAACAGUGGAUGAAAAUUUACAGAAGACUCCCUAGACCUUGAAGCAGAAAAUUUGUUGUCAAAAAAGUCAUAAAAAUAGUAAGAAAACUA